rnacentral:misc_RNA from 1 species
UGCUGAAAAAAAGCCACCUGAUGAUUUAUCCUUGUGUUGACCUUCCCUCUCAUUUGUGACCUCUUUGGCUAUUUGCUGAAGGAUAUCUAUAAUUUCAGAGAAGCUGGGUCUCUGAUUUGGAUUUUGUCGCCAGCAUCUCUCAAGAAGUUCUGCAAGUUUUGGAUGAGUGUUCUUGGGGAUUGUAGGCCGUAGACCCUUUUGCACCACGCCUACUGCUGCUUGCAAUG